GUGGGUACCCACCCCGGGGUCCGGGAUAGCCGUCCGAGAGGGCGGGUAAUACCGGAUGACCUCGGGAGAGCAAAGGCUUGUCCGCCCCGGGCGGGGCCCACGUGGUAUCAGGUAGUCGGCGGGGUGACGGCCCACCGAGCCAUAGACGCCUAGCGGGUGUGAGAGCACGACCCGCGCCACUGGCACUGAGACACUGGCCAGACACCUACGGGUGGCUGCAGUCGAGGAUCUUCGGCAAUGGGGGCAACCCUGACCGAGCGACGCCGCGUGUGCGACGAAGGCCUUCGGGUUGUAAAGCACUGUCGAGGGGGAGAAAGGCCGCAAGGCGUGAUCUAUCCCUGGAGGAAGCACGGGCUAAGUUCGUGCCAGCAGCCGCGGUAAGACGAACCGUGCGAACGUUGUUCGGAAUCACUGGGCUUAAAGGGCGCGUAGGCGGGCCGCCGCGUCCGGGGUGAAAUCCUCCCGCUCAACGGGAGAACGGCCUCGGAUACGGGCGGCCUG
rnacentral:rRNA from 1 species